rnacentral:rRNA from 1 species
AACGUGGAGACAGGUGGUGCAUGGCUGUCGUCAGCUCGUGUCGUGAGAUGUUGGGUUAAGUCCCGCAACGAGCGCAACCCUCACCCCUUGUUGCUACCAGGUAAAGCUGGGCACUCUAGGGGAACUGCCCCGGUCAACGGGGAGGAAGGCGGGGAUGACGUCAAGUCAUCAUGCCCCUUACGUCCUGGGCUACACACGUGCUACAAUGGCCGGUACAAAGGGAUGCCACACCGUGAGGUAGAGCUAAACCCAAAAAGCCGGUCUAAGUUCAGAUUGGAGUCUGCAACUCGACUCCAUGAAGGAGGAAUCGCUAGUAAUCGCGUAUCAGCACGACGCGGUGAAUACGUUCCCGGGCCUUGUACACACCGCCCGUCACACCACGAAAGCCUGCUGUACUCGAAGUCGCUGAG